rnacentral:rRNA from 1 species
GUCUACGAGAGUAGUGUAUCUGGCUCAGAACGAACGCUGGCGGCAGGCUUAACACAUGCAAGUUGAGCGGGAUUGAUUGAUAGCUUGCUAUUAAUCAUGAGAGCAGCGCACUGGUGAGUAACACGUGGGAACAUACCUUUUGGUGGGGGACAACAGUUGGAAACGACUGCUAAUACCGCAUAAGCCCUGAGGGGGAAAGGAGAGAUUUGCCGAAAGAUUGACCCGCGGAAGAUUAGGUAGUAGGUGGGGCAACGGCCUACCUAGCCGACGAUCUAUAGCUGGUCUGAGAGGACGAUCAGCCACAUUGGAACUGAGACACGGUCCAGACUCCUACGGGAGGCAGCAGUGAGGAAUAUUGGGCAAUGGAGGAAACUCCUGACCCAGCCAUGCCGCGUGAGUGAAGAAGGUUUUCGGAUUGUAAAGCUCUUUCGGACGGGAAGAUAAUGACGGUACCGUCUAAAGAAGCACCGGCUAACUUCGUGCCAGCCGCCGC